UAAAGUUUUGGUCCUAAACUUAAUGCUAUUUUUAAUUAAAAUUACACAUGCAAGCAUCCGCACACCAGUGAAAAAGCCCUCAAUAGUACCAACGGAGCAGGUAUCAGGCACGAGCCACUCAGCCCAAGACACCUAGCCAUGCCACACCCACACGGGACUUCAGCAGUGAUAAACAUUAAGCAAUGAGCGACACGACUUCCCCUCUAAAGCUCGACUUAGUUAUAAUUAACAGGGCCGGUUAACCUCGUGCCAGCCACCGCGGUUAUACGAGGGGCCCAAAAUAGCAACCAACGGCGUAAAUCGUGACUAGAAUAACUUUUAAUCUCCAAGAGGAUAAACUAUGGCCUAACCGUAAAACACAAGACCAAAAGAACCCCCUCCCCUCUUAAUACAAAAAAAUUUGACCCCACGAAAACUAAGAAACAAACUAGGAUUAGAUACCCUACUAUGCUUAGACGUCAAUACGGCACCACACACACACCCCAGUGCCCGCCAGAGGAUUACUAGCGAAAAGCUUAAAACUCAAAGGACUUGGCGGUGCUCCACACCCGACUUAGAGGAGCCUGUCCUAUAAUCGAUAAUCCACGAUAAACCUUACCAUUUUUUGCCACAUCAGCCUAUAUACCGCCGUCGCCAACCUACCUCAUGAGAGCCAAAAAGUAGAUACAACAGUACAACAACUAAAACGUCAGGUCAAGGUGUAGCUA
rnacentral:rRNA from 1 species